UGCACAUUUUUUGCACAACUACCGGGCAAUUAAGAGUUCAAGCAGGCCCGGCAUGAAAAAAAAGUGCCGUACUUGCGCUUGGUCAGUUUACUUACUACAAGUAAUGAGUACUAUGUAGUCCGGCUAAUUUCCCAGUCCCA
rnacentral:sRNA from 1 species